rnacentral:rRNA from 1 species
GAUGAACGCUGGCGGCGUGCCUAACACAUGCAAGUCGAACGGAAAGGCUCCUGCUUGCAGGGGUUCUCGAGUGGCGAACGGGUGCGUAACACGUGGGUGAUCUGCCCUGCACUUCGGGAUAAGCCUACGAAACUGGGCCUAAUCUAGGAUAGGAUGCUGGUUUGGAUGGCAUUGAGGAAAGUUUUUCGGUGUGGGCUGGGCUGGCGGCCUAUGAGCGUGUUGGUGGGGUAAUGGGCUAACAAGCCGUAGACGGGUAGCCGGCCUGAGAGGGUGUACGGCCACAUUGGGACUGAGAUAGGGCCCAGACUCCUACGGGGGGCAGAAGUGGGGAAUAUUGCACAAUGGGCGCAAGCCUGAUGCAGCGACGCCGCGUUGGUGAUGACGGCCUUCGGGUUAUAAACUCCUGUCGCUAGGGACGAAGCGCUAGUGACGGUACCUAGAGAAUAAGCACCGGCUAACUACGUG